ACAAACUUGGUCAUUUAGAGGAAGUAAAAGUCGUAACAAGGUUUCCGUAGGUGAACCUGCGGAAGGAUCAUUACCGAGUGCGGACCCUUUGGGUCCAACCUCCCACCCGUGUUUAUUUUACCUUGUUGCUUCGGCGGGCCCGCCUAACGGCCGCCGGGGGGCACCGCCCCCGGGCCCGCGCCCGCCGAAGACACCCCCGAACGCUGUCUGAAGGUUGCAGUCUGAGCGAAUAGCAUAAAUUAGUUAAAACUUUCAACAACGGAUCUCUUGGUUCCGGCAUCGAUGAAGAACGCAGC
rnacentral:misc_RNA from 1 species